CCCCCGGUGGCUCUGUGGUAAAGCAUUUGCCUGCCAAUGCAGGAGGCAUGGGUUCGAUCCCUGUUCUGGGAA
rnacentral:tRNA from 1 species